rnacentral:ribozyme from 1 species
CGGACCACGCGGUCGAGGACCAGCGGUUUGGCGGGCCGCACUGGAACCCUGCCCGCAUGACGUGGAUCAAACCCUCGUUCGGGUGGGUGCUGUACCGGUCAGGCUACGC